rnacentral:misc_RNA from 1 species
UCCCGCAGUUCGCCACCCACAACGCGCUGUCGGUGGCGACCAUCACUGAGCUCGCGGGCGAUGAUGACAGCUUCGAAUUUCAGCGGCUGCGGCGACGCGCUCUAUGCGCAACUGCACGAAGACAAGCCGGAUCUCGCCUGCCGCAUCUAUGCGCCGGUCGGCAGCCAUCGCGACCUCCUGGCCUAUCUGGUGCGGCGGCUUCUGGAGAACGGCGCCAAUUCAUCUUUGUGGCGCUGGCGGCGGAUGACAGCGUUCCGAUCGCGGCGCUGCUGGAGCGGCCCGAGCAGAUCAUCGCAAUGCCGGACCAAGCCCGCAACGCGCGCCUGCCGCCGCCGCGCGACUUGUAUCUGCCGCGGAUCAACUCGAAGGGCAUCGAGUUCGGAGAACGCGCCGCGCUCGACGCAUUGCUGACGUCGGUUGACGGUGCAGUGAUUCCUUCCGGCAACGUCAAGGAUGCGGCCGAGAAAGACGCCGCGAUUGCCGUCGCUCUGGCGCGCACC